UACGGAGGGUGCAAGCGUUGUUCGGAAUUACUGGGCGUAAAGGGCGUGUAGGCUGCUUGGAAAGUCAGAUGUGAAAGCCCUGGGCUCAACCCAGGAAGUGCAUUUGAAACUACCAAGCUAGAGUAUGGGAGAGGAGAGUGGAAUUCCCAGUGUAGAGGUGAAAUUCGUAGAUAUUGGGAGGAACACCGGUGGCGAAGGCGACUCUCUGGACCAAUACUGACGCUGAGACGCGAAAGCGUGGGGAGCAAACAGG
rnacentral:rRNA from 1 species